UGGGGAAUUUUGGACAAUGGGCGCAAGCCUGAUCCAGCCAUGCCGCGUGCGGGAAGAAGGCCUUCGGGUUGUAAGCGGCUUUUAUUCGGGAAGAAGAGCACGGAUGCGUCUGUGUGUGACGGUACCGAAUGAAUAAGCACCGGCUAACUCCGUGCCAGCAGCCGCGGUAAUACGAAGGGGGCUAGCGUUGCUCGGAAUUACUGGGCGUAAAGGGAGCGUAGGCGGACAUUUAAGUCAGAUGUGAAAUCCCCGGGCUCAACCUGGGAACUGCAUUUGUGACUGCAUAGCUGGAGUGCGGCAGAGGGGGAUGGAAUUCCGCGUGUAGCAGUGAAAUGCGUAGAUAUGCGGAGGAACACCGAUGGCGAAGGCAAUCCCCUGGGCCUGCACUGACGCUCAUGCACGAAAGCGUGGGGAGCAAACA
rnacentral:rRNA from 1 species